rnacentral:lncRNA from 1 species
GCCUUCCAAGACGUCAUAAUUAUUUGGACUAUGGCCUUGAAGGCUUAAAACUUUGCUCAGUGCUUGGAGCACAAAAAUCAUGCUCGAAACAAGAAAUCAAGCAAUUUCAUUGGUUGAUUUUCGAGUAUGAGUACAAAAAAACUGACUCGAAAGUUUUAUGACCGCAAGGCCUGGUACAGCUGGAUAGUAUUAUUUUCAAAACUAAUUCAACUGCACAUGCAAAGGUAAUAUAAAUCUGAAUAGUCACUCAACUUUAAAAAUAGCUAAUCCCGGAUACAAGUGUACGAGCAAUGUACUUAUUGUGUUUUAUUUGU